AUUCUUAAAGUGGUUUUUAAGUGUGAUUAUCGGGUUUUCACACUAUUACGUGAGAUGUACCUCCCUCUAAACCUGGUUACCAGCACGUUACCUAUCUGAUG